rnacentral:rRNA from 1 species
GACGAACGCUGGCGGCGUGCUUAACACAUGCAAGUCGAACGGAAAGGCCCUGCUUUUGUGGGGUGCUCGAGUGGCGAACGGGUGAGUAACACGUGAGUAACCUGCCCUUGACUUUGUGAUAACUUCAGGAAACUGGGGCUAAUACCGGAUAGGAGCUCCUGCUGCAUGGUGGGGGUUGGAAAGUUUCGGCGGUUGGGGAUGGACUCGCGGCUUAUCAGCUUGUUGGUGGGGUAGUGGCUUACCAAGGCUUUGACGGGUAGCCGGCCUGAGAGGGUGACCGGCCACAUUGGGACUGAGAUACGGCCCAGAAUCCUACGGGAGGCAGCAGUGGGGAAUAUUGCACAAUGGGCGGAAGCCUGAUGCAGCAACGCCGCGUGCGGGAUGACGGCCUUCGGGUUGUAAACCGCUUUCGCCUGUGACGAAGCGUGAGUGACGGUAAUGGGUAAAGAAGCACCGGCUAACUACGUG